UCCGAUCAGGCUGUUGGUGAGGUAAUGGCCCACCAAACCUGUAACCGGUACGGGCUCUGAGAGGAGGAGCCCGGAGAUGGGUACUGAGAAAAGGACCCAGGCCCUAUGGGGCGCAGCAGGCGCGAAACCUCUGCAAUAGGCGAAAGCCUGACAGGGUUACUCUGAGUGACUUUCGCUAAGAAAGUCUUUUGACACCUCUAAAAAUGGUGUAGAAUAAGGGGUGGGCAAGUCUGGUGUCAGCCGCCGCGGUAAUACCAGCACCCCGAGUGGUCGGGACGAUUAUUGGGCCUAAAGCAUCCGUAGCCGGUUUUACAAGUCCUCCGUUAAAUCCAGCUGCUUAACAGAUGGGCUGCGGAGGAUACUAUAAGACUAGGAGGCAGGAGAGGCAAGCGGUACUCAGUGGGUAGGGGUAAAAUCCGUUGAUCCAUUGAAGACCACCAGUGGCGAAGGCGGCUUGCCAGAAUGCGCUCGACGGUGAGGGAUGAAAGCUGGGGGAGCAAACCGGAUUAGAUACCCGGGUAGUCCCAGCUGUAAACGAUGCAGACUCGGUGAUGGACUAGCUUUAUGCUAGUCCAGUGCCGCAGGGAAGCCGUUAAGUCUGCCGCCUGGGUAGUACGGUCGCAAGACUGAAACUUAA
rnacentral:rRNA from 1 species